GUUCACUUCUAUUUUUGAAAGUACGUACUGAUUGCGAAAAAUGAAUAUUUUCAAAGAAUAAAUCACUUUUGACAUCCAUCGGGCAUUACUGGUAGCAGCAGGUGUGCGAAAGCGAAAGCGUUCUUCUCCCACGAAUGUCAAAGUCAAUUGAACGAAUUCUUUAUAAUCAUCCCUGAUUUGAAAU